GUUCUACGCUCUACGAAUUAAGAUCAAGAAUCGAACAGAAAAACGGUGUGGAUUGGUUUGGAUUGAAUUGAUUGCGGACUGGCUAUAUUCAUGUAAAUGCAAUCCAAUUCAAGUACGGGCCGAAGCCUACAACGUUAGCAGACGACAUCACUCUCGCAGCAUGUUGCGUUGAUUACGUCGUGAGUUUGUCUUGGACCCACGUUGUCCGCACAGUCAACGGUCUGUUCGAGCGUCUGAGGCUCACUACACACCACUACCCAGUAAAAGCAGCAACAACGAAAAGUGGGAAUGGACAAGCCGUAGAUCCCGCAAUCCUCCAGUGCACUGCCAGCAUGGUACCGACGCAGGAGCAGUAGUACAGGCCAAUGGUCAGGUACGGCCUGGCGUACCAGGACAUGGUGCUGCCGAACAGGGUCAGGACAAGUGCCACAGCCACGGAGGUCAGCACACCAGCGACCAUCGAUGCGAGGAUGACUCCCAAGGCUCUGGCACGACACCAGGCCACAAGCAUCAUGCCGUGCUUGUUGCCUGGAUGAAGAUUGGGAUGUUCUCUUCUGCUCCAUUAAACAAGAAUAUGAUGGGGUGGGGCAAUGGUGUUGGUCUCCGCGAAAGCACCUGCAGGAUCUCCAUCAGGAUGGCACAGCUAAUGGCAUCAUCGCUGGCUCCUGAAAUUAAUGCGACGUUACGUGAUGAGUGCCCGGCGAUGUUGGAGGCAUAGGGCAUUCCCAGUGGCCCGAAUGUUUCACUGCUGUGCCGAUAUGGCUUGUUUGAAAAUGGCACCGGUUGGAUAUUUUUAUCCAUUCUUGAUCGUUACAUGAUGGCUGUUGUGUCGAUCCAUGAAAGUUUUUUUUUUUUUUUAACUUACUUGAAGUGGUGACAAUAAAGAAAUUGCAUUACUUAAAGUAGGGACAGUAUACUGUACAGGAAUGAAAUUACUUCAGGGGCGGGUUUAGACCCUCGGUUUGUGGGGGGUAGAAAAGGAAAUCCCACGUAUAAUCAGACGUUUUUUUGGGGGGGAGGGGGGAACGCCCCCUGGAUCUGACAGUGAAUCACUUGGAUCAAUUUAUAAAAA